rnacentral:tRNA from 1 species
AAAGAAUUAAUUUAAUUAAAAUAUUAGUAUGUCAUACUAAAACUAUCAGUAAUUAUUCUGAUAUCCUUUU